rnacentral:tRNA from 1 species
GGGAUUGUGGCUCAGGGGUAGAGCGCUUGCCUAGCAUGUGUGAGAUGCUGAGUUCGAUCCUCAGCACCA